rnacentral:lncRNA from 1 species
UAAUAAUUGCCCCCCAAAUAGAAUAGAUAUUCAGUUAGUUCUAAUCUUAGGCUCUCUUCCUCAUAUUCUAGGAAUGAUAUCUUUUAUACAAAUACAGAAAACUCACAAAAUACAUAUACGAAUUUAAUCUAUAUAAAUCUAUAACUACAAUAGAUGUGAUACUUUCAGCUUGAUACAUGUAUUAUUACAGUUAGUCAAUUCCACAAACACAUAGCCUACAAUUAUC